AUACGGAGGGUGCAAGCGUUAAUCGGAAUUACUGGGCGUAAAGGGUACGUAGGCGGUUUGUUAAGUUGGAUGUGAAAGCCCCGGGCUCAACCUGGGAAUAGCAUUCAAAACUGGCAGACUGGAGUUUGGCAGAGGCUAGUGGAAUUCCAGGUGUAGCGGUGAAAUGCGUAGAGAUCUGGAGGAACAUCAGUGGCGAAGGCGACUGGCUGGGCUAAAACUGACGCUGAAGUACGAAAGCGUGGGGAGCAAACAGGAUUAGAAACCCCGGUAGUCC
rnacentral:rRNA from 1 species